GUCUACAGCCAUGCCACUCUGAACAAGCCCGAUCCCAUCUGAUCUCAGGAGCUAAGCAGGGUCGGGCCUGGUUAGUAUUUGGAUGGGAGACCACCUAGGAAAACCAGGUGCUGUAAGGC
rnacentral:rRNA from 1 species